GACGAACGCUGGCGGCGUGCCUAAUACAUGCAAGUUGAGCGCUGAAGGUUGGUACUUGUACCGACUGGAUGAGCAGCGAACGGGUGAGUAACGCGUGGGGAAUCUGCCUUUGAGCGGGGGACAACAUUUGGAAACGAAUGCUAAUACCGCAUAAAAACUUUAAACACAAGUUUUAAGUUUGAAAGAUGCAAUUGCAUCACUCAAAGAUGAUCCCGCGUUGUAUUAGCUAGUUGGUGAGGUAAAGGCUCACCAAGGCGAUGAUACAUAGCCGACCUGAGAGGGUGGUCGGCCACAUUGGGACUGAGACACGGCCCAAACGCCUACGGGAGGCAGCAGUAGGGAAUCUUCGGCAAUGGACGAAAGUCUGACCGAGCAACGCCGCGUGAGUGAAGAAGGUUUUCGGAUCGUAAAACUCGGUUGGUAGAGAAGAACGUUGGUGAGAGUGGAAAGCUCAUCAAGUGACGGUAACUACACAGAAAGGGACGGCUAACUACGUG
rnacentral:rRNA from 1 species